rnacentral:rRNA from 1 species
GCCGGAGGGAAACCGAGUCUUAAUUGGGCGUUAAGUUGCAGGGUAUAGACCCGAAACCCGGUGAUCUAGCCAUGGGCAGGUUGAAGGUUGGGUAACACUAACUGGAGGACCGAACCGACUAAUGUUGAAAAAUUAGCGGAUGACCUGUGGCUGGGGGUGAAAGGCCAAUCAAACCGGGAGAUAGCUGGUUCUCCCCGAAAGCUAUUUAGGUAGCGCCUCGUGAAUUCAUCUCCGGGGGUAGAGCACUGUUUCGGCUAGGGGGCCAUCCCGGCUUACCAACCCGAUGCAAACUGCGAAUACCGGAGAAUGUUAUCACGGGAGACACACGGCGGGUGCUAACGUCCGUCGUGAAGAGGGAAACAACCCAGACCGCCAGCUAAGGUCCCAAAGUCAUGGUUAAGUGGGAAACGAUGUGGGAAGGCCCAGACAGCCAGGAUGUUGGCUUAGAAGCAGCCAUCAUUUAAAGAAAGCGUAAUAGCUCACUGGUCGAGUCGGCCUGCGCGGAAGAUGUAACGGGGCUAAACCAUGCACCGAAGCUGCGGCAGCGACACUGUGUGUUGUUGGGUAGGGGAGCGUUCUGUAAGCCUGUGAAGGUGUGUCGUGAGGCAUGCUGGAGGUAUCAGAAGUGCGAAUGCUGACAUAAGUAACGAUAAAGCGGGUGAAAAGCCCGCUCGCCGGAAGACCAAGGGUUCCUGUCCAACGUUAAUCGGGGCAGGGUGAGUCGACCCCUAAGGCGAGGCCGAAAGGCGUAGUCGAUGGGAAACGGGUUAAUAUUCCCGUACUUGGUGUUACUGCGAAGGGGGGACGGAGAAGGCUAUGUUGGCCGGGCGACGGUUGUCCCGGUUUAAGCGUGUAGGUGUGUGUUCCAGGUAAAUCCGGUUCACUUUAACACUGAGGCGUGACGACGAGGCACUACGGUGCUGAAGCAACAAAUGCCCUGCUUCCAGGAAAAGCCUCUAAGCAUCAGGUAACAUCAAAUCGUACCCCAAACCGACACAGGUGGUCAGGUAGAGAAUACCAAGGCGCUUGAGAGAACUCGGGUGAAGGAACUAGGCAAAAUGGUGCCGUAACUUCGGGAGAAGGCACGCUGACACGUAGGUGAAGUGAUUUACUCAUGGAGCUGAAGUCAGUCGAAGAUACCAGCUGGCUGCAACUGUUUAUUAAAAACACAGCACUGUGCAAACACGAAAGUGGACGUAUACGGUGUGACGCCUGCCCGGUGCCGGAAGGUUAAUUGAUGGGGUCAGCGCAAGCGAAGCUCCUGAUCGAAGCCCCGGUAAACGGCGGCCGUAACUAUAACGGUCCUAAGGUAGCGAAAUUCCUUGUCGGGUAAGUUCCGACCUGCACGAAUGGCGUAAUGAUGGCCAGGCUGUCUCCACCCGAGACUCAGUGAAAUUGAACUCGCUGUGAAGAUGCAGUGUACCCGCGGCAAGACGGAAAGACCCCGUGAACCUUUACUAUAGCUUGACACUGAACAUUGAGCCUUGAUGUGUAG